rnacentral:rRNA from 1 species
UACGUAGGGUGCAAGCGUUUGUCCGGAAUUAUUGGGCGUAAAGAGCUCGUAGGCGGUCUGUCGCGUCGGAUGUGAAAAUCCAGGGCUCAACCCUGGACCUGCAUUCGAUACGGGCAGACUAGAGUUCGGCAGGGGAGACUGGAAUUCCUGGUGUAGCGGUGAAAUGCGCAGAUAUCAGGAGGAACACCGAUGGCGAAGGCAGGUCUCUGGGCAUUAACUGACGCUGAGGAGCGAAAGCAUGGGGAGCGAACAGG